CAAUACAUUUAAAGUUUUUAUUGAGCAAGAAAAGACUCAUCAUUGUUAAAAAGGAUUUUGCUUGUAUUAUAGAGAACCUAAGCAUACUGUUCAACAUUAUCCCAAGAAGUGAUACAACGACAAAAUGAAGAGUAUGAUUAUUAAAGAAGAUAGUAUGUUGAAAAAGAAGAUUGUAUAGCUACAAUAGGGGCCGUACAAUUGGAACCUUGUACAAUACCUAGUGAAGGUACU
rnacentral:lncRNA from 1 species